UGCAACGCGAAGCGCCAGAUCGGGCCAGUGUAAAAAAAAAAACAACUCUCCUUUAAAAGGGCAUUUUGUUAAUCUCUUCAUCAGUGUCACGCAAGCAAAGAGGCCACACCUCCUCCACCGCCACACACCUGGCGGCCCUGGGAGCGGCGUUUGUACUGAGGCUGGUGUCGUUUUUGUUGUGUGGCAAGGCGACCCAAGAUUCAUCUCGGGUUCAUCUUAACUGCGCAUUAAACCUGCGGUACACUCUCGGCGUGGGCGGCUGUCAAUGUAAAAUUGUUUUAAAUUACCGGUGUCAUUCGCUCGGCCGCACGGAACACACGGCUCAAAUUCUGCGCCACAAAACGUGGCUCCGUUGCUAGAGCGACGCGACCGACCGGAAACUCGCGCGUCACACAACGCUCGUCAUAUCGUCCGGCCGACGUCAGCGGUGCGGUGUGGCAGGCUUAGAUUGCAAUCUAAUUACACCAAAGUGUCUGGGAGGCAUGUGUGGCGCGUGUGUAUGGCUGUGUCUGGUGGGAAAUGAACACAACAGUAUCGCCGUAUCGUAUCACACGCUGGGUGGGUGUAACAGUAGUCGCAAGUGGAGGAGCGCGUAAAAACCCCUAGGAAGGGGUGAAAAAUCCCAGAAUCGUAGAAUUUACCUUAGAUAUACCUUUCCUGCUAUCUUCUAAGCUAUACAGUUCAAGUGUUGGUUUUGUCGGAAUUUAUGCAGCAGAGUGAUUGAACUAUUCUUUUUUGAAGACGGUCUAUUUAAAUGUACUUAAAUAAUGUAUACGACCAUCCAACUUAAUUCAAUUUGUUUCUUUUGAUUUUUGAUAGUAUCUGCGCACUUCGAAUUGAAAGUCACAUGUUGCACGUAAAACAGUGAAUGAAAUGUGCUCUCUGCUCGGCGUCCCAUAUGGAACAAAGCAAAAACCAAUGCCUGAUAACAGUUUGCCAAUCAAUAACAGAUUUCUUAUCACCAGCCAAACCUGCUGACACAGUGAGUAAAAUUAGAUUACGGCUCGCACAACGAUCACACCACCAUCUGGCACCAUCACAAAGUAAAGUAAAAAAAGCUUUGUUAUCUUAAUACUACGCAAACAGUUUUAAACCAAUCAUGAAUCGACAAAUCCAUAGGCUAAACGUGUAAAAGACGUAAAACGAACAAAAACAAAAGAAAAUAAAAAAGAAA